UGGACAGCCAGGGCUAUACAGAGAAAUCCUGUCUCGAAAAACCAAAAAGAAAAAGAAAAAAGAAAGUUAGAUUCUUACCUGAGGGCGUGGGUUUGAAGACAGAAGGCUUAAUAAUUCCAAGCAGAGGCUACAGAUACAGCAAGGGCUGGACCAGGGAAACGAUCAGAGCCGCGACUAAGGCGCUGGCAGUGGGGAUGUUAACGUGGAGGCCAGCACCGAGCGGGGGAUGAAUGGGUAGGCCAGGUCUCUAGUAUGGUUGCUGAGACCGGUGGAAGUAACAUUUAGCAAGAGGGAAAGAAAGCUGCCUUUGUGUGUAAGUUACUAAACGGUCAUGACAUUCCUUACCAUGGUAAAAGAAAUGGAAUGUGGAUAUGUUCGUUGGGGAAACACUCUUCACUCUUGUCUUACAUACGGAACGUUGGCCAUCAGUUUAAUACAUCUACUUUCCAUACACCUGUCCCCAGUUUACUUGUCCUUGGAGAACUGACUUCAGGAUUGGUAAAUUUAAAAGAACUUAGGGGACAAACUGGACUGGGAAUCUUUGAAAAGACAGUGUGGUGAGAUGAAGGUGCCUAGUUCGGGGCUGCAGAGCAAACCCUAGAGUUUAACAUUAGGAAACUGCCCACAGGUGAUGCCCAAUUCCAACUUUGUUUGUUGUGUUUUAUAGACUGAUAUUUCCCCACCAAGACCCCUGCCCCCAUCGCCAUAAUCUGUUGAUUCAUUCUGGAAGAUUGACAGAAGGGAGUUUGCCGACGGGGUUCAGUGAAGAUUAUGAAGAGAGUGCUUUGAAACUGGCCCGCUGGGCUAGGCCCAAGAGCAUCAGAGUCAGAGAAAGAGCUUAUGAGAGAAGCAGGGGAGACAGCUUGGAAGCUACUGCCCAGCGAGCCUUAAAAAUGGAACAGAGGGGGCUGGAGAGAUGGCUCAGUGGUUAAGAGCACUGACUGCUCUUCCAGAGGUCCUGAGUUCAAUUCCCAGCAACCACAUGGUGGCUCACAACCAUCUGUAAUGAGAUCUGAUGCCCUCUUCUGGUGUGUCUGAAGGCAGCUACAGUGUACUUAGAUAUAAUAACAAAUAAAUCUUAGAAAAAAAAAUGGAACAGAGGACUCCAGGCAGCCUAUAGAAGCUGGAAAGGCCAAGCAACUGGGCUCUUGAAUCUAGGACUUGACCGCUAGAACUGUAACGAGGAUUGGUAUAAGCCACGCAGUUUGUACUAACUUCACAAAGAGCCCUAAGAAACCGGUACAGUCGAGAAUAAAGACCUACAGCUUCUCGGUGGGUUCUCCUUUAUCUAGGAAAAGAGAGGACAGUGUAUCAGGCUGCCUCACAGACUGAGCACAGUGACUAUGGUCUGAUGGAGGGGCCCUCUACAUUUAGAGGAAAAUAUCAAACAGCCAAACUACCCAGGCCUGUGAAGCGACAGAGUUCCGGAGGAGCAAAACCACUCACCUCGUGACCAGGAAGCCAAAAGAAAACAAGCAAACAAAAAGCCAGGAUCCCACAGUCCCUUUCAAGGACUUACUUUUUAAUGACUUAAUGACCACCCACUAGGCUUCACAUCUUAAAGGCUCCACUACCUUUGACCAAUGGGCCUCAUUUUAAAAAGAAUGUUCUGGGGCCAGCCGUACGGCUCAUGAGACAGAAGCACUUGCUGUUCAGCCUGAUGACCUGAGUUCAAUCCCAGGGAACCCACAUGAUAAUCGAGAACCAACUUCUGCAGGUCAUCUUAUGACUAUGCAUGGAUAUGGCACACAUGCUCAUGUAUACACACAAAAAAUAAAAUGUUUCAAAAGUUGUCCUCUGACCUCUAAA